rnacentral:rRNA from 1 species
AGAGUUUGAUCAUGGCUCAGAUUGAACGCUGGCGGCAUGCCUUACACAUGCAAGUCGAACGGCAGCGGGGACUUCGGUCCGCCGGCGAGUGGCGAACGGGUGAGUAAAGUAUCGGAACGUACCAUUCAGUGGGGGAUAACGUAGCGAAAGUUACGCUAAUACCGCAUAUUCUGUGAGCAGGAAAGCAGGGGAUCGCAAGACCUUGCGCUGAUUGAGCGGCCGAUAUCAGAUUAGCUAGUUGGUGGGGUAAAGGCCUACCAAGGCGACGAUCUGUAGCGGGUCUGAGAGGAUGAUCCGCCACACUGGGACUGAGACACGGCCCAGACUCCUACGGGAGGCAGCAGUGGGGAAUUUUGGACAAUGGGGGCAACCCUGAUCCAGCCAUGCCGCGUGAGUGAAGAAGGCCUUCGGGUUGUAAAGCUCUUUCGGCCGGGAAGAAAUCGCAUAGGUUAAUACCCUGUGUGGAUGACGGUACCGGAAUAAGAAGCACCGGCUAACUACGUGCCAGCAGCCGCGGUAAUACGUAGGGUGCGAGCGUUAAUCGGAAUUACUGGGCGUAAAGCGUGCGCAGGCGGUUUCGUAAGACAGAGGUGAAAUCCCCGGGCUCAACCUGGGAACUGCCUUUGUGACUGCGAAGCUAGAGUACGGCAGAGGGGGGUGGAAUUCCACGUGUAGCAGUGAAAUGCGUAGAGAUGUGGAGGAACACCGAUGGCGAAGGCAGCCCCCUGGGUCGAUACUGACGCUCAUGCACGAAAGCGUGGGUAGCAAACAGGAUUAGAUACCCUGGUAGUCCACGCCCUAAACGAUGUCAACUAGGUGUUGGGUGGGUAAAACCAUUUAGUACCGUAGCUAACGCGUGAAGUUGACCGCCUGGGGAGUACGGCCGCAAGGUUAAAACUCAAAGGAAUUGACGGGGACCCGCACAAGCGGUGGAUGAUGUGGAUUAAUUCGAUGCAACGCGAAAAACCUUACCUACCCUUGACAUGUUCAGAAUCCUGGAGAGAUUUGGGAGUGCCCGAAAGGGAGCUGGAACACAGGUGCUGCAUGGCUGUCGUCAGCUCGUGUCGUGAGAUGUUGGGUUAAGUCCCGCAACGAGCGCAACCCUUGUCGUUAAUUGCCAUCAUUUAGUUGGGCACUUUAACGAGACUGCCGGUGACAAACCGGAGGAAGGUGGGGAUGACGUCAAGUCCUCAUGGCCCUUAUGGGUAGGGCUUCACACGUCAUACAAUGGUCGGUACAGAGGGUUGCCAAGCCGCGAGGUGGAGCCAAUCCCAGAAAGCCGAUCGUAGUCCGGAUUGCAGGCUGCAACUCGCCUGCAUGAAGUCGGAAUCGCUAGUAAUCGCGGAUCAGCAUGUCGCGGUGAAUACGUUCCCGGGUCUUGUACACACCGCCCGUCACACCAUGGGAGCGGGUUCCGCCAGAAGUAGGUAGCCUAACCGCAAGGGGGGCGCUUACCACGGCGGGGUUCGUGACUGGGGUGAAGUCGUAACAAGGUAGCCGU